rnacentral:rRNA from 1 species
UCGAGCGAACGGACGAGAAGCUUGCUUCUCUGAUGUUAGCGGCGGACGGGUGAGUAACACGUGGAUAACCUACCUAUAAGACUGGGAUAACUUCGGGAAACCGGAGCUAAUACCGGAUAAUAUUUUGAACCGCAUGGUUCAAAAGUGAAAGACGGUCUUGCUGUCACUUAUAGAUGGAUCCGCGCUGCAUUAGCUAGUUGGUAAGGUAACGGCUUACCAAGGCAACGAUGCAUAGCCGACCUGAGAGGGUGAUCGGCCACACUGGAACUGAGACACGGUCCAGACUCCUACGGGAGGCAGCAGUAGGGAAUCUUCCGCAAUGGGCGAAAGCCUGACGGAGCAACGCCGCGUGAGUGAUGAAGGUCUUCGGAUCGUAAAACUCUGUUAUUAGGGAAGAACAUAUGCGUAAGUAACUGUGCACAUCUUGACGGUACCUAAUCAGAAAGCCACGGCUAACUACGUGCCAGCAGCCGCGGUAAUACGUAGGUGGCAAGCGUUAUCCGGAAUUAUUGGGCGUAAAGCGCGCGUAGGCGGUUUUUUAAGUCUGAUGUGAAAGCCCACGGCUCAACCGUGGAGGGUCAUUGGAAACUGGAAAACUUGAGUGCAGAAGAGGAAAGUGGAAUUCCAUGUGUAGCGGUGAAAUGCGCAGAGAUAUGGAGGAACACCAGUGGCGAAGGCGACUUUCUGGUCUGUAACUGACGCUGAUGUGCGAAAGCGUGGGGAUCA